GCCUGGGUGGCUCAGUCGGUUGAGCGUCCGACUUCAGCUCGGGUCAUGAUCUCGCGGUCCGUGAGUUCGAGCCCCACAUCGGGCU
rnacentral:tRNA from 1 species